UAAGAUGAGAGUGACUCAGGUGUACCUGACGAGUUGCCCAUGUGGCCCACAUCCCUGAGUUAAGCCAUCUCUCCCCGGACUGUCACCUGCUCCGGUACCCUGGACAGCGGCAGUGCCCAGCCCCACUGCCCAAAGAAUGCUGAGCUAGGGGCCCUGUGUCAGCUCCUACCCACCAAGAAAGGAGAAGGGCUCUGUGCAGGGAGUGGCAAAGCAGGGCGAGGCGAGGCACACCCAGCUCACCACCGGGAGAGGUCAGCAGCAAAAGGCUCACCAGCUGGAGGACGUCCUCAUCUUUGGGCAUUAUGGAGAGUUCCAAGGCAUCGUCACUGCAGAGAGAGGGAAAGGCAAAGUGUGUCAGGGUCCAGAUACUGCCUGCAGCCAGCUCCCCGCGUCUCCAGGCAGCGAGCCCUGCAGGGACCAGAGGCAGUGACUGGACGCCAGGGAUCCGCAGUGGAGUGCUGUUUAAAUGCUGCAGAUCUGCAGCACUGCGGCCCUGGGCUAGUGCAUGAGAACUGGGCUGGAGAUUUGCAGGGCAGCAGUUUUACUCCAAGGGUUUGAGCUGGAAGAUCCCAGCAGCACCGGGCCCGUGCAGGCCAGCACAGCAGCAGCAGCAGCAGCUCACACAUGCAGCCUGGGACAGUAGAAGCUGCUGUUACUCCCAGAGGAGACAGCAGCCAAGCCGCCACGAUGGGCCAUUUUCCUUCCCAGGGGACAGGAAAGACUUUGUCCUCACGCCACAUGCAAAAGCCAGGACCUGUCAGAGUGUAGCUACGCAUCCGCCCCCUCCCCUCCGCUAGCUGCAUGGGGGUGCACAGCCAGCAACAGCUCUCAGAUCCAGCCCUGGGCUGGGCUGGGCACGGGCAGCUGCUUGACUCACAGGCAAGACAGCCGCCCGCUAACCUGGCAAAGGCGCCUGCUGCACCAUGGCCCCUCCAUGCCUGUAGCUCACCUCACCUCUCCCUUAGUCUGAGCAGGGCCCUCCCCACUCCCGUGAGGCACUUGCCCACCCUCUCUCCUUCAGUCCCUCCUCCCAGCUCAGAACUGCCAAGCCAACCAUUGCGAACUUGCAUCGAGAAAAGGGCUGGGAGUCCUGACCCCUAGUCCCCCUGCUCUAACAUACCCUCCCAGGGAGCAGAAUGGAACCCAGGAGUCCUAGCUCCGGUCCCCUGCUCUAACCAUUAGCCAGCAUUUCCUCCCAGAGACCAGGAUAGAACCCAGGAGUCCUAGCUCUGGUUCCCCAGCUCUAACCAUUAAGCAACAUUCCCUCCCAGAGACCAGGAUAGAGCCCAGGAGUCCUAGCUCCGGUUCCCCAGCUCUAAUCAUUAAGCAACAUUCCCUCCCAGAGACCAGGAUAGAACCUAAGAGUCCUAGCUCCUGGUCUCCUGCUCUAACCAUUAGACCAUGCUCCAUCACAGAGCCAGGCCUGGAACCCAGGAGUCCUGGCUCUCCAUCCCCUGCUCUAGCCACACGACCACUCCCUCGUCCUUUGGUGAUAGCGGCUGCUUAUUUCUUUCUCCACUAGCGAGAAGCACAAGCCAUGGCAAGAAACUGCAACAAAACCGCAGGAAAACCCAUUUCAGUUUGAGAGCCAGUUGACAGCAGACAGUCCCCGCCAUCCCCCUGCCCGGCUGACUGCCACCGGGGAUUUUUCCAAAUGCAUUUAGCACCCAGGGCCGUAUCUUAUAUUUAGUUCGUAUCCAGAUCACUUUCAUUUGGUUCCUUCCCCGGGUGCUAUAUUUAGGAGUUAUCUUGGUCAGGUCUGCCCCUCUAUCUCCUCUGUCUAAUCAGUCGUUACACACAGAGUGGAAUACACACAAAUCCAGGUCAUUAAUUAAAUCCCAGCUCCAAAGAGAGACAGAGGCACACACUGGCUUCUUUCUUCCCUUUUUGGUGUGUGAGGGAGCGUGUGAGAACUAAGGGGGGAGGGGAUAGGAAAUUCUCCCACAUCCAUCAACUUAGCCGAUCCAGCACCUGCCAGUAAUCCAUACCGGCUUUUUCCCAAGUGCCUGGUGAUGGGGACCCACCUUCCUGGGGCAGAACCUCAGCACUUCAUGCAAACCAGGCCCCUUGGGGUGUCUCAAGGUGGCCAUCCAAAAAUCACUCAUCACUUUGGAAAAGCUUGGCCUAGGGCCCAGCUCCUCCAAGGUAUUUAGGCACCUGAUUAGCACUGGCACCACUAGGAGUUGGGCACCCAUGCACCUUUGAAGAUGGUGGAUUUGAGUGUGAACAUUUUGGCCUGAGCCCUCCGGGCACACUUCGUCUCAGCCAGCAGUCUCACUGCAGAGCGUAUCCGGCCCCCCGGCCGGCGGCACAAGCAUGCCCUCACCUGUUCUGGAUCAGUGCUAUGACCUGGGAGUAGGUUUUCCCGAUGAUGCUCUCCCCGUUCACCUUGACAAGCCGGUCUCCUGCAGAGGGAACACAACCGCGGUCCCACACAUGAAUGGGAGAGCAGCUGGCCAACCCAGAGUGAGCACAGCUGGCGGUAACCAUACACCACCCAUAGCGUGCUGCUACCCGUGGGAGCUGGGGGCACUCGGCACUUCGCAGGAGAUGGGGCAGUGGCGUUAAGAGAGCCCCCCUCUGUCCCCAGCAAUGGCGCUGGAAAUCGUCCGUGAAGAGAGUCCUCUUGCCUUUGCACAAACGGAGCUGGCUUGUUAUCUGACUGCUCUCCUGCCUCAGCCUGCUGGGCAGACGACCCGUCCACCUUGCAGCCCUGUCCCUGUUAACGAGCGCUCAGCAGCUGGGCCAGGGGGCCACAGCAGGGUGGGACCCUCAGCUGGCCUCACUCAGCCGA